ACUCACUCAUGCACAUGGCAUCUAGUCAUAUUUGACUCCAAAACAAUAACCAAGCUUCUACUUGCUUCUCAAAACUUUGAUGGUGUAGCCGAAAUCUGUGUGAGUCGUUGGCUUUGUAUCUUCUAACAAGGAAACACUACUUAGGCUUUUAAGAUCCGAUUGCGGUUCUAGUUCUUAUACUCAAUGAUAAACAUGACAUCAAGUCAUCUUUGACUCCAAAACACUAACCAAGUUUCUUCUUGCUUCUCAAACAAAGCUUUGAUGGUGUAGCUAAAGUCCGUAUGAGUCUUUGGCUUUGUAUCUUCUAACAAAGAAACAGUACUUAGGCUUUUAAGUUCCGGUUACAGUUUAAGCUCUUAUACUCAAUCAUACACAUGACAUCUAGUCAUAUUUAACUC
rnacentral:sRNA from 1 species